rnacentral:rRNA from 1 species
GCAGCAGCGGUUAUACGGGUUUUAAAUUUAAUUUUUUGGAGUCAUAUUUAUUAUGAUAAAUUUAUAUAUUUAUAAGGGGUGAAAUCUUAUUAAAUUUUAUUAUAAGAGUAUUGUAAUUAAAAAAAAUAAACUAGGAUUAGAUACCCUAUUAUUUUUUAAUAUCCUAAAGUAGUAAAAUAGAAACUUUAAGAUUUUGACAGUAUUUAAUAUUCUAAAGGAACAUGUGAUUUAAUCGAUAAUACACGAUAUAUCUUACUUAUUUUAUUUUUGUAUACCUCCGUUGUUUGAUGUUAUUAAAAGUUUAAAUAAUUUUCUUAAUAAAUAGAUUUUAAAUAUCAGGUCAAGGUGCAGAAUAGACAAGUUAUUAUGUGUUACAAUCAUGAAUAAUGAAAUGGAGAAUCUUUUGAUAUAUUGAUUUGAAAAUGAAUUUAUAAGUAAA